rnacentral:rRNA from 1 species
CUACGGGGUGCUGCAGUGAGGAAUAUUGCACAAUGGGGGGAACCCUGAUGCAGCAACGCCGCGUGGAGGAUGACGCAUUUCGGUGUGUAAACUCCUUUUAUAUGUCAAGAAAAUGACGGUAGCAUAUGAAUAAGCGCCGGCUAACUCCGUGCCAGCAGCCGCGGUAAUACGGAGGGCGCAAGCGUUACUCGGAAUCACUGGGCGUAAAGGACGCGUAGGCGGGUUGAAAAGUCAGGUGUGAAAGCCUACAGCUUAACUGUAGAACUGCACUUGAAACUCUCAACCUAGAGUAUGGGAGGGGCAGAUGGAAUUAGUGGUGUAGGGGUAAAAUCCGUAGAUAUCACUAGGAAUACCUAAAGCGAAGGCGAUCUGCUGGAACAUUACUGACGCUAAGGCGUGAAAGCGUGGGGAGCAAACAGGAUUAGAUACCCCGGUAGUC